GAAUUUUCCGCAAUGGGCGAAAGCCUGACGGAGCAAUCUCGCGUGAGGGAAGAAGGCCUCUGGGCUGUAAACCUCUUUUCUCAAGGAAGAAGAUCUGACGGUACUUGAGGAAUAAGCCACGGCUAAUUCCGUGCCAGCAGCCGCGGUAAUACGGGAGUGGCAAGCGUUAUCCGGAAUUAUUGGGCGUAAAGCGUCCGCAGGCGGCCUUUCAAGUCUGCUGUUAAAGCGUGGAGCUUAACUCCAUUAAGGCAGUGGAAACUGUUGGGCUUGAGUGUGGUAGGGGCAGAGGGAAUUCCCGGUGUAGCGGUGAAAUGCGUAGAUAUCGGGAAGAACACCAGUGGCGAAGGCGCUCUGCUGGGCCAUAACUGACGCUCAUGGACGAAAGCCAGGGGAGCGAAAGGGAUUAGAUACCCCUGUAGUC
rnacentral:rRNA from 1 species